rnacentral:misc_RNA from 1 species
AAUGAAGUUACAAGCUCCCCACGGAAGUUCCAAACAGCUACUGUUCUAUUUCUGAACGUUAAGAAUAACUGAUUCUCGUACAGAAAUAUGAAUGCUGAUGGGGUCAUGAAUUCGGCUCUGCUGACUUCUGUCAACUCAGAAUUACGUACAUCCAGAAUCUGAAGAUUCUCGUUCUCUUGCUUGACAAGAAGCUUUUCAUUAAACUGUUCAAUGAAAUCAACCUUCUUAUUUCGGUGAAGAAGAUGGUUGAAAGAUUUAAGAACAGUACCGUCCUCGAUUGACAGAAUCUUCAGAGGCACAUGGCCACUAGCUUUGGUAAAUAUCAACAACAUGAUUCCCGGGCUUAUUUUAAUCUCUUGAACAUUUUUGUCCGAUAUUGAAUAUAACAUUGUGUAAUUCUUCAGGUCAAACACCUUGUAUAUGCUAUCCUGGGCAGAGUAAGUAAGGACUUUCCCAUUGACAUCAUCGAACUCCACAAAACCAGGCCAUUUUAAUGACUCCGACUCAAAUAAAGCAAAGCCUGCAUCUGGUUUACCUCUCCGAAUAUAUUCGAUUCUUGUGGUUCUGCAUUUCAAGGAACUGAAGUUAUCUGAUGCAUAGACGGAAACAGUGAUGAGCGAGUCAUUGUUUUUAUUGUAAAAUAAACUUCGUAUAACUUCAUCUGGACUGAUGUUCAGAAAGCAUAUUCUCUCAUUUGUCUCUCGACUAAAUGCAGCACAGACGCCAGAUUGUGCAAGGGCAAAG